CCGUGACAGCCCCGAGGCUCCCUCCCGCCGGUCUGGGCAGCCCGUGUGUGGCGCUGGCCCCGCUCUCGCUGUCACCAGCGCUCCAUCUCUCCCAGAACAGUCCUAUGGCACCGUUGCCGUCCCAGCGUUAAUUUUGGUCUGCGGCUGUGCAAGGCCAGUGAUGGAACAUGGCAAAGCCAUCCACUGCACCAUGUUACAGCCUAAAUUUAGCUAAUCCACGCCACGGCACUGGCAUCUAUAGGGGAUAUGUUGCAAGCACGUAAUCACAACUUAGCUGCUUUCAAAUGCAAACACUUGCUAAGUGUGAUUGCACGGUUGCCACAUCAGAUUGUCGUUGCCACACUGUAAUUGCCUUAACAUUUCCUGUCCCGUGAUGCCACAUCCCAAGGGUUUACUGGUGUUACUUCACCAGGGAAGUGGGGAUUUGCAGCAGUAUCACAUCACAGCACGGUUGUGGUUACCCCAGUGCAGUGGUUGUGGUUAUCCCAGUCCACUCACAGGACGUGGGCUCAUCCUAUGACAGCAUUAAAUUUUGGUUUCCACCCAGUUGACUUGGGACUAAACACAGGCAACAAGUGGCCCCUGCUGGAUACCAGCUUUCUGUUCACAUCAGGAUGUUCCCGCUCGAGGAGAAACCCUCCAGCAGAACGAGUUAAAUGAAAUCCCAUACAUUAGCAGGAUGCAAAUGUAUACCAUGAAGAAAAAGGAGAAAAUGCAUCUUUUUUUUUUUCUCCAGCAAGUGUUUUAGUGGUGCUGCUUUGAUUUGUAUUACUGCACAGAAGUUAUGGAGGUGGAGAAGUCUCCUUGACUACUUCUUUCUCCUAAGUCUUUGUAAUUUUGAUCAUUGUUUCUACCCAUCUGUAGAAAUAAUCUUCCUUAUGGACUCAAUCACAUACUGUUUUAAUGAGCCCAGUGACUGUUGUAGGGAGUGAUGCCAAGAGUGAUGAUCUUUAGCUAUUUCUGUAGGAAAGCAGCUUAGCAGGCCAUAUGUCAUAUUUCCUAGUAAAUGAUUGUUUUGAAUUGUUUUUAUACUGUAGUUUCUAUUCAUGAGAUAUUAAAGAAAAUAGCAUCUGGUUAAUCAAAUUCUGAAUUUCGGCAUAUGAUGAUAUAUAUCAAUCCUAUUCUGUGACUUUCUUUGAAAUAGAUUGUAAGUUCAGUGCAGACAAUUUCUCUCUAUUGGCUGGUAAUAGGUGACUAUUAUACCUUAAAAUUUUAAGGGCGAAGAGCUAAGACAGUUUGAAGUUUAACAAGAGCUGAGUUCAGCUACUGUUGCCAGAAAAGAGUUUGCACCACCCUUCUACCACACAUUUCUAAAGACAAACAGCAAACAGAAGAAGUGAGGCUUGAGCAAAGGAUUCACUGGUGUGAGAAUCUUACCACCCUUCACAAAAAAACAAUAAAACAUUCUCAAAGCUGUUUUAUUAGAAGAGAAUCAGACCAAAGACACUCUUGAACUUACUGGCUGCCUUUCUUCAAGAUUUGUUGAGGACACCAGGAUUCAGAAUAGAGUUUUCUUGGGUAGUGGCAGCUUCACUUGAACAAUAGUAUGAGAAAUAUAAUCUUUCUCAUAGAACAUGGAAAAAAAGAUCUGUUAGGCAUUGGUUGCUGCAUUUCAGGAGAGUAACAACACUCCACUAUGGAAGGGUGAAGCUUAAUUUAUUAUUGAAAUAAAGUUUCAUUUAAGAAUGGCAAAAUCUAUUAAAUCUGUAAGCUAAAUUUCACAGAACAGCCAGAGCAAGAGCAUGUGCAGCUUUGACUUGAAGGUGUGGAAAAAACCUCACCAAGACUUUUCCUUUUGGUAAUGAAAUGAACAGAGAUUGAAUUUCAACCAGCCUUGAUUUGCUUGUUUUAAGGGGAAAAUCAG